CCAUGGCUGGUUGAAUCUGCAGAUGCGGAACCCGUGGAUACAGAGGGCUGACUGUAUUGUAACCCUGACUGAUGUAAAUGCUACCUGCCCAGGAGAACUUAGCGAACGAACUGUGUUCCAGGACCACUUUUUAUGUUAAUUUCUUGCCUCAGGAAUAUGGGACUGUGCAAGGACAGAAUACAAUAAAACCCAAAGUCAUGAGAAGAAGACUUUACAACACUUGGAAGUUAUAGAAGAAGAUCAAUUUGGGAUUGAUAGCAGGAAAACCUCUCUCUAAAUAGAGGCAUCUGCACAUAAAAAGCUCACC